CCAUACUCAGCUAAUUUUUGUAUUUUUUUGGAGAGACGGGGUUUCACCAUGUUGCCCAGGCUGGUCUCGAACUCCUGGACUCAAGCAAUCCUCCCGUCUUGGCCUCUCAAAGUGCUGAGACUUUAGGUGUGAACCACUGUGCCUGGUCUGUGUUUGCAUUUGUAUUUUAUGGUUGCUGUUCUGACCCAUGACUUUUUCGGGGAGCAGGGAGGAUGAAAAAUGAAAAUAAAAGCAUUUAGAAAGAUGAUUAAAAAAUUAAAAAACAAAAAAGUAGGGGGAAGGUGCACUCCCACACGCCGGCCAAUCAGCUGCAACCGCACCAUCAGCAGACCGGGGAGGCGCCUGGAGCCUGCAGUAACUCAAGAUGGCCGACUGAUCGCCAGAGAGUAUUUGAGGACAUGGUUACAAGUGCCAAAGUCUCCCGUGAUGUAUCCUGUGUCCACAUCCCAACAACCCCAUCGGCAGGACUCUUUCCUGGUUUGCCCACAAGGAGGAAAGUGAGGAAAGUGAGGCGUCAGAGAGAUGAAGCAACUUGUUUGAAGGCGGCCACACAGCUGGCCCUGAGGAUAUCCAGACCCUAGAGGACCAAUGACAGGCAGACAGGCCCAAGAUGGGAAACCCAGAAGCACUCUGAGAUGUCCUAGACGCUGAGAUGUCCUGCCUGAGACCUCCAGGAUUAACUGAAGGCCAGCAGCUAGUGCUCCUGAGCCCAGUCAUAAGUGACAGUCUAUGAGGGCAAACUGAUCCCCACUUCUUUUCACUCCUUAAGCUUCUACUGAAGCCUCCAGCAGACUCUUGGGCCCCAAAGCUGCUGCGUCCCCUAGAAACACCUAAAAGGAUGCUCCUGGCUGCAAAGCGCCCUGAGCCUAUAACCACAGGAACUGCUCCAUCAGUAUCCAGUGUGCCUGCUUAUUGCCUGGUUACCUGCCCGGCUUGUCCUUGUGCAGAUGCAGUGGAUGCCAGAACACCCUACAGCUGGAGAGAGGCGGGGAAACCCUCAGGUGCUUGUGCCUACGAGCACUGCCCCAGCCUGGCAGCACCAGGGAUGGGAGAGGAAGGAAAGCCCCAGGAAUGCCUGUGGGGUGUGACAGCAGCCCCUGAGUGAAGAGCUGUGCCCAACCCCAGCUAAGCCCUCAGGACCCAGGACAAGGGGCCUUCUUCUACAUAGGAGAGUGGCCUCAUCAGCAUCCCACAUAGAGGGAGGCAGACAGGCCCUGCAAACCUUCCUCUAAACUUCACGCAUCUCCUCGGAAGUCCCUAUAAUAAUGACAAGUAGGUUUAUUGAGCACUAAUGGGCUGGGUGCUUGGCUAAGUGGUUUAUGUCAGCAUCUCAUUUAAUUCUCCGAAGAACCUUGUAUGCUAGUAUUAUGGGGAGCCUGUCUAGUGGGUCAGAAAAUAUGACCGACAAUAAAAAUUUGAAGACAAUAACAACAAUAAUAACAUUAACAAAGGAAACAAUGCUUCCCAGAGAUCUAAGGAAGGGAAAUUAAUGUCUGAUGAAGGGAUGAUUAAAGUGACGAUGGAGAAAGGGAUUUCACAGGAAAUACGAAGAUACGAAAGUAAUUCUUCAGAGAAGAUCUCCACCAAGAACACUCAACCCACAUUCAGGCAGAAUAUGCAAGGAGGCAAACUGUUGUGGACUACGCGAUCUCCACAUGGAAGAUGUCACAUCAAAAAAUAAAAAUAGGCCGGGCGCGGUGGCUCACGCCUGUAUUUCCAGCACUUUAUGAAGCCGAGGCGAGUGGAUCACCUGAGGUCAGGAGUUUGAGACCAGCCUGGCUAACAUGGUGAAACCCCAUCUCUGUUAAAAACACAAAAUUAGCCAGGUGUGGUGGCACAUGUCUGCAAUCCCAGCUACUCGGGAGGCUGAGACAGGAGAAUUGCUUGAACCCAGGAGGCAGAGGCUGCAGUAAGCCGAGAUCGUGCCACUGCACUCCAGCCUGGGUAAGACAGAGCGAGACUCUGUCAAUAAUAAUAAUAAUAAUAAUAAUAAUAAUAAUAAAUAAACAAACAAAAACUCUGGUUCCUGGCGGCUUCUCUUGAAAUAUCAGAAUGGUACCACGGCACCCUCCUUCUGAUGUGGGAACAGUUGGUUGGAGCCAAGAAGCUACAGCUUUUUAGACUGAGUGUGCAUGCUCUGGUCAACACAGUCCCCACCACCCCCUAAUGCCUUUCACUUGGCCCUUCCUCUCAUCUCCACUAACUGCCUGGCACCAUGGGCGUUUCGCAUUGAUCCCAAAGGCGCUUCCCAGCCGUCCCUUAGCUGAUCCCCUGCUGCCACCUGGUGGUCACAGUUCUUCUGUGCCAUCAAUGCAUAUCAGUGAUAUUCCUGGUACAUCUACCACCAGGCACACUGAUUGUCCCUUAUUUAAUCCUUUUACCAACCCUGGGAGAACAGGAAUUAUUGUAUCCAUUUUACAGAUGAGAAAACAGAAAAGGUAAGUUGGGUAAUUAUAGAUAAGAAAAAAAAAUGAGCAAGGUUAAGUGAAUAAAUCAUUCAGGAUCCCAGAUUCCAUGAUGUUGCCAGAGUGGAAUCCAGCUCUUUCCUUUGCCCCAGCCCAGGGUAUUUUAGGCUCUGUCCUGCCACACCCUUGAGAUGGCCAGAACUCUGCAGUGAGUACUUUUGAGUCUGAGUGGGAGGACAGAGCAGCCUGGGGGCCAUCAGCAGAUGUCUUCAUACAUAGAAACCACGGUCCAUCCAUAGUCAAGACAUUUG
rnacentral:lncRNA from 1 species